UUAUUAUUUAUUCUCUAAGGCUCGUUGGCAGAAAACCUGCUUUUUACAAUGGACUUUUCAGCUAAAACUUCAAGGAAACCAUUAAUAAGUCGCAUAUAUCAAUGACAUUACCUCUUUAGUGCGAUAAUCUACAAAUCCUAAUUGAAAACACUGAAGUAUAAAGCUACAAGACCAAGUAUCCUCUGGGUAGUCAAAUAAGAGCCGUUUGAAGUCGAGCUAAAGUGAUAAGGCGAAAGUCAAGGAUUGCAUCCACGGAGAGCCAACUAUAAAUCUAGUAGCAUAUUUGUUGAUUAAAUGUCU